rnacentral:rRNA from 1 species
GUGUCAGCAGCCGCGGUAAAACGUAGGAGGCUAGCGUUAUCCGGAUUUAUUGGGCGUAAAGCGUGUGCAGGCGGUUUGGUAAGUUGGAUGUGAAAGCUCCUGGCUUAACUGGGAGAGGUCGUUCAAAACUACCAGACUAGAGAAUGGGAGAGGGAGAUGGAAUUCCGGGUGUAGUGGUGAAAUGCGUAGAUAUCCGGAGGAACACCAGUGGCGAAAGCGGUCUCCUAGACCAUUUCUGACGCUUAAACACGAAAGCUAGGGUAGCAAACGGGAUUAGAAACCCCCGUAGUCC